ACGCUAGCCGCUUGCCUUGCUCAUGCAUGUCUCACGAGGACUUCGAGCUUGCACUUUUGAUUACUGGCGCACGGGUGAGUAUACCAUAGAUGAUGUACCCCUCUACUUCGGGAUAGCCACUGGAAACGGUGAUUAAUACCAGGAUACUCCUUCUCAUUAUAAGAUGAGUACGGGAAAGUUUUUUCGCUAACGGAUCAGUCUAUGUCCUAUCAGCUAGUUGGUGAGGUAAUGGCUCACCAAGGCUAUGACGGGUAUCUGGUUUGAGAGGAUGAUCAGACACACUGGAACUGAGACACGGUCCAGACUCCUACGGGAGGCAGCAGUGAGGAAUAUUGCACAAUGGAGGAAACUCUGAUGCAGCAACGCCGCGUGGAGGAUGACGCAUUUCGGUGUGUAAACUCCUUUUAUUAGGGAAGAUAAUGACGGUACCUAAUGAAUAAGCACCGGCUAACUCCGUGCCAGCAGCCGCGGUAAUACGGAGGGUGCAAGCGUUACUCGGAAUCACUGGGCGUAAAGGGUGCGUAGGCUGGCUUCUAAGUCAGAUGUGAAAUCCAAUGGCUCAACCAUUGAACUGCAUUUGAAACUGGGAGCCUAGAGUUCAGAAGGGGCAGAUGGAAUUAGUGGUGUAGGGGGUAAAUCCGUAGAUAUCACUAGGAAUAUCAAAAGCGAAGGCAAUCUGCUGGGAUGAUACUGACGCUGACGCACGAAAGCGUGGGGAGCAAACAGGAUUAAGAUACCUGGUAGUCCACGCCCUAGACGAUGUCAACUAGGUGUUGGGGGAGGAGACUUCCUUAGUACCGUAGCUAACGCGUGAAGUUGACCGCCUGGGGAGUACGGUCGCAAGAUUAAAACUUCAAGGACUUGACGGGGACCCGCACAUGCGGUGGAUUAUGUGGAUUAAUUCGAUGGCACGCGAAAAGCUUUACUACCCUUGACAUGUCAAAAGAUCGCAGAGAUGUGAUUGUGCUCCGAAGAGAUCUGAACCCAGGGCUGCAUGGCUGCGUCAGCUCGGGUCGGAAAUGUUGGGUAAGUCCCGCA
rnacentral:rRNA from 1 species